rnacentral:lncRNA from 1 species
GAGAACACUAUUUCAUAGAGAUAAUGAGUUCUCCAGAUGGUGGUGACAGCUGUGUGAUGGGCAUUCCCAGGGCAGCAUCAAGUUAUCAGAAACAUCAGUAGAAGCCAUUUGAGGAUGACUAAUAAAAUGACUUCAAGAGAGAAAGCCCAGAGGAACACGGAAGAUGAAAAUACUCGAGAAUGCUUCCAUAAUCCUCUUGGAUCAGACAUUUGAGCAACCUAAUUUGGUGGGCACAACACAGCGUUAAAAUACACGAAAAAGAUAUCCAAAUAAUCAAUUUAGAUUUCUGAAACCACAGGACAAGCAAGAUUGAGCCAACCCAGGUUUCUAUUGGAGUCUGUUCAAGCUGCUAUAACAAAAUAUGUUAAACUGGGUAAUUUGUAAACAGCAGAAACUUAUUGCUCAGAGUUCUGGAGCCUGGGAAGUCCAAGAUCAAGGUGCCAGUAGCUUCCAUGUCUGGUGAGGGCUUCCUGUCUUCUUCAAAGAUGGUGCCUUUUUGCUAUAUCCUCACAUGGCAGAAGGGCAAAAAGGGGCCAAUGAGCUCUUGGAGGCCUCUUUUAUAAGGACACUAAUUGCAUUCUUGAGGGCUUCAUCCUCAUGACCUAAUCACCUCCCAAAGGCGCCACCUGUUUGUAACAGCAUUUUGGGGAUGAAAUUUCAAUUAUAUGCAUUUUGGAGGAAUGCAAACAUUAAGACCAUAGCACUUUCCCACGUGUUUGUGAUCCUAAACACUAAAUUGUUUAGUUCUAUAUUUUAAAAUUUGAUGUAAAGAAAUGCUGUAUGCAUUCUGCACUUUCCUCUUUCCCUCCAAAUUGUAUUCUUUCAAUUCAUCCUUGUUUCGCUCAUUACUGUUGUUUUAUUUUCAUUGCUGGAUGGUAUUAUGUUGUGAUAGAUAUUUGGGUUGCAUCUGUUUUGUUUUUCUUUUUGUUGUUGUUAUUAUAAACAGAGCUUCUGAGAGUAUUUUGGUUUCCUGGUUCAUAUAUACGAGAGUUUCUCUGUGCUAUAUACCUAGAAGUGCAGUUGCUUUGUCAUACAUAGAAUACACACAUCUUUUAC